rnacentral:rRNA from 1 species
UACGUAGGGGGCAAGCGUUGCUCGGAAUCACUGGGCGUAAAGGGUGCGUAGGCGGGUCUUUAAGUCAGAGGUGAAAUCCUGGAGCUCAACUCCAGAACUGCCUUUGAUACUGAGGAUCUUGAGUACGGGAGAGGUGAGUGGAACUGCGAGUGUAGAGGUGAAAUUCGUAGAUAUUCGCAAGAACACCAGUGGCGAAGGCGGCUCACUGGCCCGUAACUGACGCUGAGGCACGAAAGCGUGGGGAGCAAACAGG